GACGUAGGGCGCGAGCGUUGUCCGGAUUUAUUGGGCGUAAAGAGCUCGUAGGCGGCUUGUCGCGUCGAAUGUGAAAUCUCAGGGCUCAACUCUGACAUUGCAUUCGAUACGGGCAGGCUAGAGUUCGGUAGGGGAGACUGGAAUUCCUGGUGUAGCGGUGAAAUGCGCAGAUAUCAGGAGGAACACCGGUGGCGAAGGCGGAUCUCUGGGCCUUACCUGACGCUCAGGCGCGAAAGCUAGGGGAGCGAACUGG
rnacentral:rRNA from 1 species